CAGCCACCCCCCUUUGAAUGUAUUGGAACAGGCUACUAUUAAACAGUGUGUGGUGGGACCAAAUCAUGCUGCCUUUCUUCUUGAGGAUGGUAGAGUUUGCAGGAUUGGUUUUUCAGUACAGCCAGACAGAUUGGAAUUGGGUAAACCUGAUAAUAAUGAUGGGUCAAAGUUGAACAGCAACUCGGGGGCAGGGAGGACGUCAAGGCCUGGUAGGACAAGCGACUCUCCAUGGUUUCUCUCAGGUUCUGAGACUCUAGGCAGGCUGGCAGGCAACACCUUAGGGUAAGUUGUGGCCAGUUGAAGGCACCAUCUUACAGAUGGUCUGUAUCAUCUUCCUGUGAGUGCUCUCAGUCUGAAUGAUCAUCUUCAAUAUUCUAUCUAGUGAUGGAGUGAGAAAAUUCUCCUGAACUCUGGGCAGGAAGUUCAUAUUGCUCAGGGUGAGCCACCAUGAUAAAAAUAACUCACACAGGCUAAUUACAAUUAAUCUAGGCUCUUGACCUUUAAAAAAUGUAUAUAAUGUUUACAUAUGUUUAUAAUGUCACGCCAUUUAUUUCAUUUAAAAUUUUAAAUGAUUUUAUCUUUGGUCCUCUCUUACAACUUAUUCUUGGUACAACUUAUUCUUUGUACUAUAACAGCAGAGAUGAGUAAUUGGGACAGACUAGCCUCCAAAGCAUAAACUUAUUUAUGAUUUGGCCCUUUAC
rnacentral:lncRNA from 10 species